rfam:Echinostoma caproni strain Egypt genome assembly, scaffold: ECPE_scaffold0004679
GCACUGCUGACGAGUCCUAAACAGGACGAAACAGCUGUCCAGUGC